rnacentral:lncRNA from 1 species
AGCGAGUAGCAGCAGCGGCGGCAGGAGCAGGUAGUUCUGUCUGGCUGGGCAUCUUGUGUGAGGUCACAGUGGCGCCGCUGCGCUGGAGAGGUGGUCAGGACCAGGUAAGAAGGUCUUGGUAGCCACACUAUGGAGUUCAGACUCUGCACUGAGAAGAAUGGAGGCCUCAGGGGUUUGUGGCAGAUGAGUUUAUUCUCGCUUUAGGAAGACCAAUCCAGCUUCAUUUCCGUGGGCAAUGGUGAAGGGGAGGAGGCAAGCUUGGAUGCAAGGGGGUGUCCCAGAGCUGCUGUUGUCAUCCAGGCAGGAGGGGAUGGUGGCUUGGCCCAGGAUGGUGGCUGUAGGGAUAGAGGGGGACGGACAGAUUUAAGAGUCAUUUAGUGCUUUAUGAUUGAGUGAAUGUGUUAGCAACUGACAGGAAGAGGGGAGGCUCAAGAAUAACACCUCUCUGCAACAUUCCUGCGAAAGUUUGCACAGCCUCUUCUUGCAUACUUCCCGUAACAGGCACCUCAUCACCCAGUUUUUAGCAAGGUAGUACUCACUUACUUCAGUUUAAAUCUGUCUACCUGAGGAUCUUAAGGCUGCAGAACCAAACCUGAACUGUAUUCUGCAGCAACUUUCCAGGAGUUUGAAGGUGGUGUUGUCGCAGGGACUCUCCUUUUCUCUGCCUUCAUCAUUUGUAUUGUUGUCAGUACGUGAAUGUCCUAAGGUUUCUUCAUCUAACUUGGAAAUUUUAUUCUAUGCUAUUGUAUUUUAUUUUUUGGUAAAAAAGAAUAUCAAAUAAUGACUUUACAGAGAGAGCCACACCAUCCUGUGGAGUGGAGUAGCCCCGUCACCCUGCUCAGCACAUUUUCUCUGGUAGAUGAUUCCAGGAGGAAGUCAAAUUCUAACUGGCGGUUACUUGGCAUGUGUGAGAGGAGAGCCAAGGCAGUCAGCUGACUGAUGUCAAGAUGCUCAGAACGUAAGGAAUUUGCCCAAAGUCGCACAGUAAUGAAAGUGGCACAGGAACUCAAGUCCAGGUCUGUCUGGCGGCAGACGCUGAGUCCACGACCUGGUUCCUCUCCUGCUCCUCUGCAGCAAGUGACAGAGAGGGGCAGGCAGGAGACCAGGUAGGAGGCAGAUGCAGAAAUCCAGAAGAGAGCCACGAGGCAGGAGUGGGGAGGGGAAGACUCUGGGGGUAGGUCUGACUUGGGUGACUUUCAUGGGAUUGGCUUAGCGGGCAGAGGUUUUGGGGAGCCAUCAAGGACCCCAGGUCACUGGCUCCACUACUGGGGGGUGGUGGUGUUCUUUGUUCCCCUGGGAGGUGUCCAGCAGGAGCCAGUCAGAGUGGUGGCAGGAGGCCAUGGUGAGCCUGGAUGGGACAUGGAGUGUUGGAGGUGGCAGAGCAGACAGCGGCUCUGUGCUGAGAAGCAUCCCUGUCAUUCCUGUCUCCUCAGUGACUCUGAGGGCAGAACCCUUCUGGUCAGCUCUGUGGCUGGCCAUGUGCCAGGCCCAGGACAAAGAAUCCUGGCCACUCUGGCACAGGGCUGCUCUCUGUGGGGGCCGCUCGCCAGCACAGCCGAGUGGCUGCUCGUCCCCACUCGAGACUGACUGCCUCUCACCACUCAGCAGGGCCAGGCCAUGGUCCCCAGAGCCUUGCUUCCAGGAAUCUCCUUGCUGCCGGUUACCAGGACACCCGCGACAUCUGGGGACGGCGGAGCUGUCCCUCUGGAGUCAGGCUGGCUGAUCUGGAAGAACGUGGGUCAGAACAAGCCCAGAGAAGUUCAGGGCUCAGACAGCUCAUUGCAGCCUUGUAAGGAGGCAGCUGAGCAGUGCCGAAUGCUGUCGGAGGCCAGAACACACUGCACUCAGACACUCUAAUCAAUAUUGGCUGAUGCUCCUGUCUGGAGGUGGCCCUGACAGCUGUGUGACCUUAGAGCUCUCUGAGCCUCUGUCUCCCCCUGGGCACAGAAAGAAGUAAUCACCUCUCCUGCCUUUUCCCUCCUGCCCUCUUCACAGAGUCGUCGUCAAGAGCAAAUGAGGUAAUAAAGGCGGAAGCGCAUUCUCAACUCCACUGCAACGCUGUGUGGGAGGCCAGUCAACCCAACUCAUGUGAACACGCACACACAAACACACACACACGCCAGACGGAGAGAGAUGAACCCCUCCAACCUCUUGAUGUGGUAUCUCCACUCCACGUUUGGCCCGGGAAAGGCUGGGACCGUUGGUGGCCUCCAAGGAGCAGCAUCACAUUACACGCAGCUGGACCAGGCCCCAGGACAGCUAAAUGGCUGUCAUCUGGGCCCUGAGGCACCGGAGGGAGGAGUUCAGGGCACAAGGAGACCCAUGUAAAGCGUUUUCUGUUAAAGGAGGCCCUUGCUUAGCGAAGAAUCCACAUCAAGGAUCCAGAAUUGGCUGGUGCUCUGGGCAAAGGGUUUGGUCUGUGCAAAUCAUUUCCUCCUGCUAGACUUCCAGUCCCUCAUCUGAACCACGGCUGCCACGGACUCUACGCUCUUCUGCUUCUAACCCUCCAUGAUGCUGACCUCAGCUUCGGAACCUGGAAACAUGGCCAAGGGAAUGGAGGGAACAUGGGGUUGGACUGGAUGCAUGUGUCAGGUUUUGAAUUAAGGACUGUUGAGGUGGAACGGAGAGAAUGAGCAAAAGUAGAGGGGUUUAAAAGUGCAUGAGGUUUAUUCAUUCAUUCAACAAAUGUGGUUUGAGCUGCUGCUUUGUGGGCCCUUUUCUUAGUUGCUCUGGAUACAGGGGUGUAUAAUCCACGAAGAUAAGGAUGGUGCCUGUGGUGAGGGUUGCAGAGAGAAAAGCAGUGGGAGAGAGGGAGCCAAGAGGCAGAAGGGCAGGGAGGCUCCCCUCUCCCUGGGAGGAGAGACGUCCAGACCUGCCAUCCACCUGAGGGAAGAGACUGUUUUCAGGUGUAGAGGUUUCAAGAUGGUGGCCCAUGGAUGAAAUUCCAGCAUAGGUCUGUUUUGUUUGUCCCCAUAAAGUGUGUUAAAAUUAUAAUAAGCUUUUAGCUAUAAAAAUAGAAAGCUUUUAUAUAGAAACCUAGAAUUCUGCUCUUACAGACCCACUAGCCCAGGCAGUACUUCCAUGUAACAACGAUUGGCUGAGGCUGGGUUGAGGUUGCCCCUUGAGGGAGUGAGCUCCUCAGCUCCUCAGUCUCCACCAUUCCCUAUUGUGGCCCCAGCCUGCAAGCCCCACUUAUUUAUUUUACCUUCCCGACUUUACUGACAUCUGCGUUUGUGACUGCUGGUCUGGUUUGUGCUAUAAAAGGCUGACCAGCCUGGUGGUUGGAUCCGUUCUGGGCCAGGUGGACGGAGGCCCGCCACAGGAACCCACACCCUGGGAGCCACUUUGUGCUUCUGACCACCGCAAACACUGUCUGCGGUGAGGUUGACAAGUUGGGAAUCAGCCCUCCAGGCCCAAAGGCUUCUCCUUGGCAGAAGCAGAAGCCAAUUCAAAUUGUUUUUCUUUUUUUCUUUGCUCAUCUGAAAAGUCCUCCAAGAUCCUCCUUCUUAUUAACAACCUGCACACCAUGCUGUGCUUAAAGUUCAGAG